GACGAACGCUGGCGUUGUGCUUAACACAUGCAAGUCGAACGGAAAGGCCCUGCUUUUGUGGGGUGCUCGAGUGGCGAACGGGUGAGUAACACGUGAGUAACCUGCCCUUGACUUUGGGAUAACUUCAGGAAACUGGGGCUAAUACCGGAUAGGAGCUCCUGCUGCAUGGUGGGGGUUGGAAAGUUUCGGCGGUUGGGGAUGGACUCGCGGCUUAUCAGCUUGUUGGUGGGGUAGUGGCUUACCAAGGCUUUGACGGGUAGCCGGCCUGAGAGGGUGACCGGCCACAUUGGGACUGAGAUACGGCCCAGACUCCUACGGGAGGCAGCAGUGGGGAAUAUUGCACAAUGGGCGGAAGCCUGAUGCAGCAACGCCGCGUGCGGGAUGACGGCCUUCGGGUUGUAAACCGCUUUCGCCUGUGACGAAGCGUGAGUGACGGUAAUGGGUAAAGAAGCACCGGCUAACUACGUGCCAGCAGCCGCGGUGAUACGUAGGGUGCGAGCGUUGUCCGGAUUUAUUGGGCGUAAAGGGCUCGUAGGUGGUUGAUCGCGUCGGAAGUGUAAUCUUGGGGCUUAACCCUGAGCGUGCUUUCGAUACGGGUUGACUUGAGGAAGGUAGGGGAGAAUGGAAUUCCUGGUGGAGCGGUGGAAUGCGCAGAUAUCAGGAGGAACACCAGUGGCGAAGGCGGUUCUCUGGGCCUUUCCUGACGCUGAGGAGCGAAAGCGUGGGGAGCGAACAGGCUUAGAUACCCUGGUAGUCCACGCUGUAAACGGUGGGUACUAGGUGUGGGGUCCAUUCCACGGGUUCCGUGCCGUAGCUAACGCUUUAAGUACCCCGCCUGGGGAGUACGGCCGCAAGGCUAAAACUCAAAGGAAUUGACGGGGCCCCGCACAAGCGGCGGAGCAUGCGGAUUAAUUCGAUGCAACGCGUAGAACCUUACCUGGGUUUGACAUGGAUCGGGAGUGCUCAGAGAUGGGUGUGCCUCUUUUGGGGUCGGUUCACAGGUGGUGCAUGGCUGUCGUCAGCUCGUGUCGUGAGAUGUUGGGUUAAGUCCCGCAACGAGCGCAACCCUUGUUCACUGUUGCCAGCACGUUAUGGUGGGGACUCAGUGGAGACCGCCGGGGUCAACUCGGAGGAAGGUGGGGAUGACGUCAAGUCAUCAUGCCCCUUAUGUCCAGGGCUUCACGCAUGCUACAAUGGCUGGUACAGAGAGUGGCGAGCCUGUGAGGGUGAGCGAAUCUCGGAAAGCCGGUCUCAGUUCGGAUUGGGGUCUGCAACUCGACCUCAUGAAGUCGGAGUCGCUAGUAAUCGCAGAUCAGCAACGCUGCGGUGAAUACGUUCCCGGGGCU
rnacentral:rRNA from 1 species